GGGUGCCCGAGCCAGAAACCGAACGGGAAGACACCCGUCCUGAGACGAGCGUCGCUGACGAAGUUGCUCUGGAGGAGCCAGCCGAGGACGAGACAUUGAGGUCUGUGCUCACAGCAGACCAGCCUGACAUGUCCGGUGACACAUCGGGAAAAGAGGAAGACGCGGAGUCCACUGACGAGGAGGAAGGGGUGCCCGAGCCAGAAACCGAACGGGAAGACACCCGUCCUGAGACGAGCGUCGCUGACGAAGUUGCUCUGGAGGAGCCAGCCGAGGACGAGACUUUGAGGUCUGUGCUCACAGCAGACCAGCCUGACAUG